AGACAAACAUCUGCUCACCUCAUACAGACACUCAUUCAGACUUGAAUAUCUCUAUCUCACUGAAUAUCUUUAUCUCACUGAAUAUCUUUAUCUCACUGAAUAUCUUUAUCUCACUGUGUUAGAUCAUCUGGUUCUGCUUGUGACAAGGGGGUGUUCCAUACAGGGUGGUGCGUAACACAUGCAGCAGAUCGUUAGUACGUAUUUUGGGCCACCGGGAGGAAUAAAGGAAUGAGCUAUGAAGGAGUGGCAUUCUAUGGCAGCCUAAUCGGAAUAACACUGUGGCUUCUUGUUCAUUGUUUUGAUUUAGAUCAGAAGCAGAAAAACAGCUCAAGGCUCCCAUUCUCAUACACCCCCCCCCCCCCUGCCAGUCACUGGCUAUGAUGUGGACCUCCUUCUUCAGCUACCAUGAGGGACUCUGCCAGGGUGCUGCUCGGUCGGGCCUCCGAAGACAAGGAGGACCCUUCCAAGCACGGAAACCCGAGCUCUCCCGUUACGUCUGUAACUAUUCAGGCAAGCAGUCAGCUGAUAGGAGGCGACAAAUAAAAGUUUCAUGAACAGGCUUUCAUUCUGGGGGACAGAGGCAUCAUCCCUUUAGGAAAUGUUAAGUUGAAUGCAACAUGUUGGUUUGAAAAAAGGUUAAUCAGUGAUUAGUGUAAACAGACCAUACAGAUGUGGGGCAUUAAAGCGUACAACCAUUA